GACGAACGCUGGCGGCGUGCUUCAUACAUGCAAGUCGAACGAGAAGCUGACUUCGGUCAGUGGAAAGUGGCGGACGGGUGAGUAAUAUGUAGGAAAUCUGCCUUUAGGAGGGGGACAACAGAGGGAAACUUCUGCUAAUACCCCAUAUGAGCGUAGCUGAAAUGCUAUUCUUGAAAACUCCGGUGCCUAAAGAUGAGCCUGCAUCUGAUUAGCUAGUUGGUAGUGUAAUGGACUACCAAGGCGACGAUCAGUAGCUGGUUUGAGAGGAUGAUCAGCCACAAUGGGACUGAGACACGGCCCAUACUCCUACGGGAGGCAGCAGUAGGGCAUUUUGCGCAAUGGGCGAAAGCCUGACGCAGCAACGCCGCGUGAACGAUUAAGCCCUUCGGGGUGUAAAGUUCUGUCAGUGGGGACGAAACUUGACGGUACCCACAGAGGAAGCACCGGCUAACUCCGUG
rnacentral:rRNA from 1 species